rnacentral:rRNA from 1 species
UACCAGCACCCCGAGUGGUCGGGACGAUUAUUGGGCCUAAAGCAUCCGUAGCCGGUCAUGCAAGUCUUCCGAUAAAUCCAGCCGCUCAACGGUUGGGCUGCGGAGGAUACUACGUGGCUAGGAGGCGGGAGAGGCAAGCGGUACUCAGUGGGUAGGGGUAAAAUCCUUUGAUCCAUUGAAGACCACCAGUGGCGAAGGCGGCUUGCCAGAACGCGCUCGACGGUGAGGGAUGAAAGCUGGGGGAGCAAACCGG